rnacentral:rRNA from 1 species
GAUGAACGCUAGCUACAGGCUUAACACAUGCAAGUCGCAGGGUAACAUGAGGAAAGCUUGCUUUCCUUGAUGACGACUGGCGCACGGGUGAGUAACGCGUAUCCAACCUUCCCAUAACUACGGGAUAACCCGUUGAAAGACGGCCUAAUACCGUAUGAUAUCGUUUGCUGACAUCAAAUAACGAUUAAAGGUUUAGCGGUUAUGGAUGGGGAUGCGUCUGAUUAGCUUGUUGGCGGGGUAACGGCCCACCAAGGCGACGAUCAGUAGGGGUUCUGAGAGGAAGGUACCCCACAUUGGAACUGAGACACGGUCCAAACUACUACGGGAGGCAGCAGUGAGGAAUAUUGGUCAAUGGGCGGGAGCCUGAACCAGCCAAGUAGCGUGCAGGACGACGGCCCUAUGGGUUGUAAACUGCUUUUAUGUGGGGAUAAAGUGCGUGACGUGUCAUGCAUUGCAGGUACCACAUGAAUAAGGACCGGCUAAUUCCGUG